GAGCUGACCAGGAUGGGGGGGGGCACAGGAGCAAAUCCCAGAGGGCCCCCAGGGACCCCCUCCAGGUAUGGCCAGGGCCUCAGGGGCUGCGACCUCUCCCAGGAAAUACGUCCCCGCAGAAAGACACGGGGCGGGGGCUCCGAGAAGCUGCUGGCACGUCGUAGGCAGCAGGUGAAACCCCGGCGCCUGCCUGCAGGAGUGAACAGUGUCCCUUGCAGCCUGCGGGCCAUGCACCCCGCCCACAGCAAGGGGCCCUCAUAGGGUCCCCAGAAGGAGGGGCUGGUGGCCUCCAUCCUGGGGCCUGGCCUCCACGGGGUCUGACAGGUGGAACGACCUUGUGCUCACUCAUGAAUCAGCCAGGCUCCGUCCCCAGGACCAACCCGUCCCCACGGAACCGCGCCAGCUGGAGAACCUGUUGACCCUCCUGGAGGCGGUGCUCAUGCACCCGGGACCUGCCAGAAGCGAGCCACCUGUGGGCGAGUGGGAGCUGAGCCAGGUGCAGUUGUCUCUUCCCAUCUGACGGGAGGACCGAGACACAGCGCUGGCCUGCGGUGUGGGCACUCGGCAGGUGUGCAGGUGCACAGGUGUGCAGGUGCAGGCAUGCCCACUGGGGCCUCGGGGCAGCAAACGG
rnacentral:lncRNA from 12 species